UAACUCUCCAAAGAUUUAUGUGCUACAAAUCAUAGCAACAAAUGAGUGUGAUAUUCUUAAUGUGUACAUUGUUUUACCAUUUGUAACAUGAAUUUAUGCAGUUGAUCAGUUUGUAUUCUAUCUACAGAUAAACGAUCCAUUUAAAAAAAAAUUAAAUCUCUAAUUUAUAGUUUUGGUUUUUACGAUAUUUAUAUGUACUAUAUUGGCAAUGUCUGUAUAUCUCACCAUACUCUUAACAGGUCAGAAUAAGAAGCAAUCACAUUUUAACAUAUACGUUUCUACAAACUUUUUUUUUUUUAGAUACCACCUCCCUUAAAACAUCUACAAUAUAAUUAAUAAUUAUUUAAAGAUAAAAAUAAAUAAAAUUAAUGUGCAAUCUUCGCCUCAUUAGGCAUCUCAAGAAUAGCUGUAAAGCAGGAGGUUUAGGAUUAAAACCAUUUAGCUAGGAAUUAAAAACUGAGAUUAUGGUAGGGUCAGGUGAGUUGCUAGAGCAAUAAAAAAUUUUUAAAACAAGACGUGUUCUGAAAGCACUCAUAUUGAAUGUGUAUAUUAUACUCAGAAACAUAAGUUGUCAUGUGUGUUUAUUUAAACCAGGAGAUUUAUUAGUAGACACACACACACACACACCAAACUAUAAAAAAAAAAACACCAAGUUCAUGACUAGGUAUUUCUCCCAAAAUUUCAUAUACAUAUAGCAAUUUCAUUACAUUUGAAGCCACCCAGCCAUACUUUAUUUAUGGUAUUGCCAAUUUUACCUUUAGGUAUGUAUUAAAUAACCUAAUUGUGUAUAUAUUUUAUAGAUAUAUUUACACUGAAGAUUAUUUGUUGCUCAUCUAGUAUGUUAUCUUAAGGUAAGGUAAGUUGUCAGUCUGUUUGCAAACAGUUUGACUACUUACAAUUCAGCGCACUGUGGUGGUUAUGGUACUUGGAGUGUUCCUGUAAUGACAGGUGAAAAAUAAGGGACCACAUUCCUUGCAUGUAUUGAAUACUCUAUCCAUUUGCUAUCACAACAUACAGAUGAAUUUCGCCUUUAUCACUUGUUGUACCUAUCAGGACGAGUCAACUUUAAAUUGUAGAACGUCUACCAAUGGUGGAGUUUUUACACCCUACAAAGCUUUACUAAAAAAGCAAACUAACAAUUCUUUAAUCAAGCCAAAGCCCUAUAUAAGACUGUAAGACAACUGGUGACACUUUUCCAUUAACUGGUAAAUUCCUUAUUGAAAGCUUCUGUAAUUCCCCAAUUUACAAUCACCAAAUAACCAACACAUACUCUUACUAGGCAUUAAUAGGGUAUUUCUUAAAACUCAUCUGGAUACAAAUACUUGUCUGUUAGUUCAACCAUUAUACAGCACUGCAGAAUCGGUUAGCUCUUUAUAAAUAAUAAUAUUAUAAUAAUUUAUUUGAUGCAGCAGUAACUAAACAUGAAACCUACAUUAAGAAAUGUACCAAAUGUCGCCAAGAAGAUUACUGUCAUUCUGGAAUUCAGUGCAUACCCGCAAAAGUGCACAUUAUAUAACCAUUCGUUUCACUGAUUAGCAAUCCUUCUUUGUUUUUUUGUGUGCCAAUUAUAUCUGCACAACUAGCAGCAAGGUAGCAACCUAAGGAAAUUAGCAAUAAGCGUAAAUAAUGUUUAAAGUGACUCUGCCAUUCGUAAUAUUAUUUUGUUCUAUGCCAGAAAAGAUUUGCAGAAAAGAUCCGCAUAAACUUGUAAUUUAAUAUUAUCAUAGCUCUUCUGGUGAAAAAACACAGCGAGCAUGACAGCAGUCUCAUGUGCAUCUAACAAUGGAAUAUGUCCCAAAGCACUGUGUAAAUUGCCCAGAUUACCAAAUAUCCAAAUAUGGUGGAGGUAUGUCAAUACUGUAUUCUAAACAUCUAACAGUGCCAUUCCAUUUUUAACUAAUCGAAGAAAAGAGUGUCAUUAUCCUUAUCCAUGACCAAGUCCCUCUUAAGAGAAGUAACAUGUUAAAGUUUGUAAGCACCGCAUGCGCAUUCAGACAGUCCAUAGGAAAGCAUUACUCAAUGCUUUCCUAUGGACGUCCAGCAUCUUUUCACUGUGAUUUUCACAGUGAGAAUCGCGGAGGCGCCUCUAGCGGCUGUCAGUGAGACAGCCACUAGAGGCUGGAUUAACCCAAGUGUAAACAUAGCAGUUUCUCUGAAACUGCUAUAUUUACAGCUGCAGGGUUAAAACCAGGGGGACCUGACACCUAGACCACUUCAUUGAGCUGAAGUGGUCUGGGUGCCUAUAGUGGUCCUUUAAGGUGGCUGAAAUCGCAGGCAUGCAUCUAACAGGUGUUUUAAAUUAUAUUCUAACAAUUUUUCACAAUGACAUAUUUAUGUUUGCCAAAAAAGAAAUGCACUUUUUGCUCUCCUUGAAUUACAUGAGGAAUAGCGGUGAAUGUGCUGUACUAUGAAAGUGUGCAUGCUACUUUAUUCUCCCAUAUAAAAGAACAUAACUGGUUCAAAUAAUCUACCAAUGUCCUGAUUUAGAGGAAAGGGAUGACAGUCUGAGAGAUAGUGUAAAACUGAAAGAAAAAAAAAAAUGUUAAAAAAUUCUGUUUUUAUGAAUAUAAAUAUUAAAUCAUUUUUGUAAAAUCCUAUUAAAAAACAUGCUACAAGAAGGAAGGAGGCAGUAAUGGAGCAUUCUAUACAUAAUCAGUCACAAUUGGCAGUAAAUAAAUGUCACAUAUGCCUCAAAAAUAAUGUUACUAUAAUUAAAGUCACUCAAAGCAACAAUGGUACCAUGUAUCUAUGGGAUAAACAUGACAGACUCAUUUCAGACUGUCAGUUUGCAGCGAACAUCUUUAAUUGGAAUGAUAUGACUGUUUCAAAAGAACGCUAAAGGAAGGAAGCUGGAAAAUCCAGUGUUAAUAAUAUAAAAUUCAUGAACAGAUAUAGCAAAGAAAAAAUAUGAGUUCAUUCUCAUGAUACGCCUCCACACAAUAAUUUUUUUUUUUUUAUCUUUUAAAUAUAUUAACACUGAACAAUGAUUAUAUUAAUUAUUAUCUAGAAAUAAUUAGACUGCAACAAAUGAUCAAAGCUUGUUUGCAUGAUCCCUAAAAUGCUACUUAAGUUUCCAAAAUAUGUCAUUUUUUUUUUUUUUUAACAAACAAGGAAAUGCACUAAAUGUGAAAGAUAAGAAUCACAUCCUUAGCUGAAUGCCACCUUUUCCUAAUCUAUUCUUGUGCCCCUUUUCAUGCCCUUGGCAAUAUUUACUAUAUUGGUAAACACUAAUUUUAUACUUAAAAUGUUCUAAGGUAUUGUUAUAAUGCGUCUGGAUAAAUUUACCCAUUCUCUGUCUACUGCAUGUUUUUAAAGGAAUAGGAACGUAUAAAAAUAAAAGAAUUAUUUCACAUUACAGUGCUCCCUUACCAGGUAUGUUAUUAGUCUAGCAGGUCUGCUCAAUUUCUAAGGAGCUAUACAAGGGGCUUACUAUAAAAAAAAAAAUUAGCACUGCAAAAAUAAAAAUGACUUGCAGAAAAACUAACUUCAGAACUUUAUGAAGAAUGUUUCAGAUGUUCAAGAUAUUUACAGGCGAGUGCAAGUCAUUCACUUGUUUUAUGACAAUGGUACAUCAUGUAGACACACUGUCAAAAUUAUUGGGAAUUGAGAUCGGAAAAAAAGGAAUUUAAGCCUAAAGUUAGAAACUGGAAAAAGUACCUAGAAUUGGAAAAAUUGCAAAGUGGGAAGGAACUGCAGGUAAUUCACCAAAGAAUUUUAAGCUAAACUUGGAGCUGAAUUGGACAAUUAUUCCAAUUUGACUAUUUUGUCCUAAAAAGUAACUUCACUCUUGAAUUUCUCACUAUUACCAGUUUAACACGUUUCCCUGCAUAUCAACUAUCAACUUCAACCAAAAACCAUGUCUAAUUUGUGUGCUUUCCCUUUGACUGGAACAAACACAUCAUGUUUGUUAAACUCCAACCAACCGCCUAAAAAAAACCAAAGAAAUUGUUUGCUCUUACAAUUCUCUUCUCAGUAAAAUAAACACAUAUCUCAUUGCUUUGCUCUAAUAGGCGUGAUAUAAGAUUUAUUUUAGUAAGUGUUAAAUUACAACUAAAAUUGGGUCAAGCAGCUAAUUUACAGUUCACAAUUAUGAAGUACUUACAAAGCUAAAUUCACGAAUGAAGAAUGUCUCAUGAAGUUAAUGUAUAUAAAAAAAAGUUGGACUUAAAAAGAGUUUAAAAUGCAAAUAUUCUACUGGUGCAAUCUUUUAUUGUCCAUAAGAAUGUUGUGCUAUUUUGUUAGAUCACAGAAAGAAAUUGUGACAAUCUUACCAGUAUAAAAUAGAUGUUAAAAGGACCAUUAACAUGUCUGCUAAACUUCAAUAGAAAUGCCAUGUUUUCAUUUAUGCCAUGCUAGACACUGUGCCACAUGUGAUUCAUCAAAUUUAGGACAGCACUGGACUAUAUUAUCUGCUGCCCAAGAAUGUAACUCCAAUCAAGCUUAGAAAUGCUGUUACAUGUAUCCUUCCCUAAGUCUAAUAAAACCCUUAACAAGAGGUAGUCAACCUUCAUCACUCUAAUUGUUUUGGACUACAUCUCCAAUGCUCUUAUGGCAAUAAUGCUGGCAAAGCAUCAUGGAAAGUGUAGUCCUCAACAUCUGGGGAGUCGAAGGUUACCUAACCCUGCCCUAAACACUAUUACUAACCCUACUGUUUAAAACCAUCAUGAAGUAUAAAAGAUACAGAACAUUGGAGCAUGUAUUAUGGUAAAAUAAUCAAUUUAGAGGUUCAUCCUUCAGUAUUGUGGUGUAGAAUGUCUCCAGAACCUCUAACGUCUAUUGUUUUUCCAUAUUACACUUCACUUUUAAAUUAUGUAUCAUUUAUAUUAAGCACACCCUGUAGUUCCUGAAAUUGAACAGAGAAAGUGGAGAUAGAGCUAAGGGUGAACAUCAUGGCACUUACUUCCUUUACUGGGUAAAAAAAAAGGGUUAAGCAAACAGCCAAGUUCCUUGAGUUUGUGUACAUAGAAGCCAGAGAAAGUAAUGUUCUACCCUCACUGUAGCGACACAGUGCAUGUGGCCAAUAAGCCAGUCCAAGAAAGGUGAGGUCAGAUGACAUUAAAGGGGAAGGAGGAAGUGAUAAGAAAGAAUCGUCCCUUGCACUCUCUGUGUAUAUACAGAGUUGUUCUGAUCUGAAUAUUUUCUCAAUAUUAUUCUCUGGAGUAUGCUGAACUGAAUCACAUCUUGUUUCUAUGCCUGUUGUAGCCAGUUAGUGACAAGCGACAAGCUGUUAGUGGUUAAAACAGCUGUCAGUAAUGUUAGAGACUGCGGCUGUUGCUAGGCUACAAAAUUUCACUGUAAGCAAAUAGCAAUUAGAUGUUGGCCUAACAUCUCAGACAGAGAUUAACAUGAGAUGAGAAGCACCAGGUUUCCCAGUUAGAUGGUACAAAGUACCAUAGGUCAUAUUUAUCACUCCACUUGCUUCAGCUUGGUGUUAAUUUGAAAGACAUGUUAGUGGCUGCAAACCGCUAACACAUCAUAUAGGCAAAAAGGCAUUUGUAAGAUUUCACCAACGUUUCUAUAUUACCCAAUAGAGUAGCUAUAGCAACACAAAACACAUUUUGUGUUGUCAUACUAUAAAUGCAAUUCUAAAAAUGGUAGUGGUUAUGGCAUCAAGAGAGCCCCUUUAACAAAGAUAGUCAAAGUUACCCAGGAUUUGGCACAAAUAUAAACAAAACGAAAACAAAACCUUGUGACUUAGCUUUAUUCUUCUAAUAACUGGUUACUGUGGAGAAGUGAGUGACAUUGACAACUCCAAACUCAGCAAAGAAAUCCCUGUAUUGCGGUUUGCACAAUUCAGCUAUGAAACACAUUUCACUAAUUGAGAGAAAGAAUAUAAAUAAAACUUGCACCUAAUACGUUUUUAGUACAGUAUUUAGACUGAAUUAAAUAUUGUGUGCACCUGUAUUGCACAUAUAUGAGUGGCAAUAUAUGGAUACAAAUGUUUAGUUAGAGUGUGGCGUUCAUGCUUAUAGGGACACUAUAAGCACCAAGACCACUUCAUCUCGCUGAAGUGGUGUGGGUGCAGUGUUCCUGUCCUACUUUUUGAGAAACUGCAAUGUUUACAUUUCAGUACUAAGAUAGCCUUUAGUGGCUGUCUACCAGACAUCCUCACACUCUUCAUGAGGACAUCCAGCAUCAGUUAAAUCCCCAUAGAAACAUAGAAACAUAGAAUGUGACGGCAGAUAAGAACCAUUCGGCCCAUCUAGUCUACCCAAUUUUCUAAAUACUUUCAUUAGUCCCUAGUCUUAUCUUAUAGUUAGGAUAGCCUUAUGCCUAUCCCACGCAUUCUUAAACUCCUUUACUGUGUUAACCUCUACCACUUCAGCUGGAAGGCUAUUCCAUGCAUCCACUACCCUCUCAGUAAAG
rnacentral:lncRNA from 1 species